GUUAAAGUUAAAGAUACAUUUUUAUAUACAUACUCAUUAACUUAAGUACUGGGGAUGGGGCAAGUUAGUAGCUCACAUGUUGUUUACUGAAUUCUCAUCUCAGAAGCGAAACAAACAUUAUUUCUUUUACACAUUUUAAACAACAAACCAACCAAAACAAUACUGCGCUCAAACCAGUGUGGUAUAAAUAAAUAUAAUAAAAAUUAUUUGUUGUUGUGUGGGACAUUUCCAACACCGUAUAUCCAGGUCUGCUCGCGUUGUCGUUGAAGAACUGGUUCCACGAUGCUAGGCUAGCUGCAAAGGCUACCCCACGAUACAUCGGCGUGCCCGGGCAUCUGUCUCGGAGUGCCCGCGCGGCGUGCGAGAACUAUACCACCGAGCCACCAAUACUUGCAAUGGAAGACGGGCGGCACGCUGAAAUGAAUAAUCAAAGGGAACACAAAGAAACAGACGAGCAUUGGCACCCACAUCGUAUUCAUACCGUCAUUGAGUGACAAUUCAUCCCGCGCUUCCUUGGUCGAAAUCGAUAAGAAACCUGGAUUCGUCCACAAUAGCGUCCCGAGGCCUCCAUUUCACUGGGCCAAACACCGGAGGAACAGUCGACGCCCACGUCAAUUGCGUCAGAAGCUACAAUGUAGCUUAUUGGUCAAACUAACGUCACCCCCUCACGAUUUUACAAAAUAAAAGCAGGCACAUUAUGUUAAAUAGGAAAAGGGUGAUUUUACACACCAAAAAAAGGUCCACGACACAUAUUUAGAUGAUAUAUAUGUAUUUAUUCUAUUAAGAAUGUUGCCAAGCUUGAAUGAUGCUUUAUACAAGUAAAAAUAUAUCGCUUCCGCCGUAAAUACUUUUAUUUUGAAAAGGACCAGUACAGCUUCCUACUAUAAAAUGCCUCGUAUACUAUCUACUGAAAUGCCGUGCACUGUCAUUUGUGAGAUGCUCUUCUACACACAAGUGAGAUUCUGUGCAGUCUCAUUACUGAGAGCCUCUUAUACACACAAGUGAAUAACCUCUCACACAUAAGACUGAAAAAUAUCUCACAUUCCUUGGUCAAACGUUCGUAUAAAUGCAUGUGAAAACAUCUGUACAGAUACGUAUGACUUAAAAAGCUAUCAGACAUAAGUCUCGGUAAUUAUAAGUAUGGGGGUAAUUAUAAGUAUCCACAUUGAUGCAUGCCAUUGAAUUAUAAUAAAUUGAAUGGUUGAAUAAUCAAGAAAGCAAGAUAUUUUCAUUAGCACAUAUAUUUUAAGCUUGAUAAAGAUAGAUCUAAAUAAAGUUUAAGAUUUUUUUAGCAUUAUUGAAUAAAUUAUAUUGUGUGUUUUAAACGUGGCAUUAAAAAACAACAACAAUAAUAUUACAUUUUAUUUUUAGGUGUCUUUCAGGACACUCAAGAUUGCCGUACAAGGUAAAAGGUAAAAAAUAAGUUAAAAUACACACAUACAGAUAAAACCCACAACAAUGUUAAAUUAAAAAGAAUAAUGGAAUUAUGAGGAAGAAAGCCUGUCUGAAUAAAUAUGUUUCAAGAUGUUACUUGGCUGAGAUUGUAAGGAAGUCCAAAGUAUUGUGCGGCCUCAUCAACAUCAAAUUAUAAUCGAUAUAAGGGUCAGCAGGGAUGAAAUCGAACUACAUAUUCACACACAUUCAGUACUAGCCUACAUUCUAUAAUGAAGUGGAACACUGAUAAAGGUAUAGUUUAUGGUUUUUAUUUAAAACUGUAUUUUUGAUGACUGCUGUUAGUUAAAACGUCCACUAGAUGGCAUUAUAUGAUCUUGCAUUGCACUAAAACCAGGUAUAUGAGCGUUGCAUUUUGGGAAAUGAAGAUGCUAUGAACGCUAAUGGAGAAAACGCUAACGCUAGCGCGACCUCUUUCAAACCAAAGAAAAACUGACGAGUUCCAGACUGCUCUAAUCAGCGAAUUACAUCUGAGUUCUGUGUGAUACAAGUGUCUGACAGAAUUGAUGUCAAGGAGGAUUCGGCCUGAUUCAAUGAGGGAUUGAGGACCAAUUUUUUUCAACUUCAGCCAACUGUUGGAGCAUCACCCAAAGCAGAUAAGGUCGUGGAGGAAAAGACGUUAGUUUGACCAAUAAGCUACAUUGUAGCUUAUGACACAAUUGAAGUGGGCGUCAACUGUUCCUCCGGCUUUUGGCACAUUUAAAUGGAGGCCAGUAUCCGGACGAGUCCAGGUUACCUGCUGAUAUCGACAAAGAGAAGCACAGGAUAAAUUGCCACUCAGUGACGGUAUGAAUGUGGGUGCCAAUGGUCGUCUGUCUCUUUGUGUACCCUGUGAUUAAUCAUUUCAGCGUGCUGCCCGUCUUCCAUUGCAAGUAUUGGUGGCUCGGUGGUAGAGUUUUCGCACGCUGCGCGGGAACCCCGAGACUGAUGCCCGGGCACGCCGAUGCAUCUUGGGGUAGCCUUUGCAGCUAGCCUCGCAUCGGGGCAACAGUUCCGCUACGACAACGCGAGCAGACCAGGAUAUACGGUGUUGGAAAUGUCCCACACUACAACAAAUCAUUAUUUUAUCCACACUGGUUUGAGUGCAAUAUUGUUGUGGUUGGUUCGUUGUUUAAAAUGUGUAAAAGAAAUAAUGUUUGUUUUGCAUGUGGGAUGAGAAUUCAGUAAAACGGCAUGUGAGGGACUAACUUGUCCCCCCCCUCCACAGUACUUAAGUUACUGAAUAUGUAUAUAAAAAUGGAUCUUAAGCUACUAUACCGAGUGUGGUUUGAUUGUCAAUAUCAGUUUGCAUAUGACUGAUGAAAAAGGUAAAAUUUCAGAUUUGAAGAAGUCCAUUGGAACUGUUUUGAAAUAAAAAAAAACAUCCCACCUUG